UGCAACACCCACAACUACCACACAAACACCCACAACUACCACACAAGCACCCGCAACUACCAUACAAACUCCCACAACUACCACAGAAACACCCACAACUACCACACAAACACCCACAACUACCACAUCAACGCCCACAACUACCACAUCAACGCCCACAACUACCACUGAAACACCCACAACUACCACUGAAAAACCAGCAACUACUACUGAAACACCCACAACUACCACACAAGCACCCACAACUACCACACAAACACCCACAAUUACCACACAAGCACCCACAACUACCACUCAAACUUCCACAACUACCACACAAGCACCCACAACUACCACACAAACUCCCACAACUACCACAGAACCAUCCACAACUACCACACCAACAAAUACUACUACCACACCAACAAACACAACUACCACACCAACAAAUACUACUACCACACCAACAAACACAACUACCACACCAACAAAUACUACUACCACACCAGACCCCCAAACUAUUUCACAAAUGUUCACAACAAACAUAAAUACUAUACCUGAUGCCACAACUACCACACCAACAAAUACUAAUACCACACCAGACCCCAAAACUAUGACACAAAUGUUCACAACAAACACAAAUACUAUACCUGAUGCCACAACUACCACUCCAACAUUCACAACUACCACACCAACAUUCACAACUACCAUACCAACACCUAGUACUACCACACCAAUACCCACAAGAAAUACUACAACACCCGCAACCACCACUCUGCCACCCACAACUGCAUCAUCUCCAAACAUCUCAACUAGGAAGGUGGAUAAUUCAACGGCAAGUGAUGUAUCUAGAGUCCCAGUUGGACUGACUAUGAGGGUGUCCUCUGUGACCAAGAUAAACGAAACCUACAUCAAGGAGGUGUUCUUGCAGCAGCUCCAGGAGGAAUUGAUUAGACGAGGGCUACCAGCAGACAUCACUGUCGGUCUGAAAAAGGUUCAAGCUCUCAGCCCCUGAGGGAGAGAGAUAGUGGGACUUUACAACCUAAAUGUGGUCCAACUGAAGGUAAAAUGGAAGUUGGAUGACAAAUAUACCAUGUUCACCAGCAGUGAUCCAUAGCCCUGUACUUACUGUAAGUCGCUCUGGAUAAGAGCGUCUGCUAAAUGACUAAAUGUAAUGUUCCACUCCAUAACACCUGGAGGAAAAGGUUUGGGUUUUACACAACGUUAUCAUUAGAGCCACAUGCUAAAUAGAUGCAUGUUAACGCUUUUCCUUUAUUGUUCAGAAUGACAUAUUGAUAGUAGGAGUCAGGUGGCUGAGCGGUUAGGGAAUCGGGCUAGUAAUCUGAAGGUUGCCAGUUUGAUUCCCGGCCAUGUCAAAAGACGUUGUGUCCUUGGGCAAGGCACUUCACCCUACUUGCCUCGGGGGGGAAUGUCCCUGCACUUACUGUAAGUCGCUCUGGAUAAGACCGUCUGUUAAAUGACUAAAUGUAAAUGUAAAAAUGAUAGAGGAUAGGAUUUGAUAUUUUUCUUGAGCAUGUUGUUUAUUAAUAUUGAAUAAUGCUCGAUCAUAUUUGUAAUUGUUGUGCUCCAUUGGUAAAUCCAGGAUGCCUUUUAAAAAAGCUAUGGAGCAACACUGUUCUGUGACAAAGUGAAAAAAAGAUGGAUUGCUAUCUCAAUUAAUUCUAUAUCAUUAUUAUUAUUUUAAAUGCUUCAUGCUUUAUUUUCCUUGUAUGCUUAUACUUUUGCCAUGCAGUACAAUCCCAGAA